UGCGUCGUGGCCUAGUGGAUAACGCUGCUGGCCAGCGUUCUGAAGGUGACGGGUUCGAUCCCCCUUGGGGUCA